rnacentral:rRNA from 1 species
CCUACGGGUGACAUCAGUAGGGAAUAUUGCUCAAUGGGGGAAACCCUGAAGCAGCAACGCCGCGUGGAGGAUGAAGGUUCUCGGAUUGUAAACUCCCUUUGUUAGAGAAGAUAAUGACGGUACCUAACGAAUAAGCACCGGCGAACUCCGUGCCAGCAGCCGUGGUAAUACGGAGGGCGCAAGCGUUAUUCGGAAUCACUGGGCGUAAAGAGCGCGUAGGCGGGAUAGCAAGUCAGAUGUGAAAUCCUAUGGCUUAACCAUAGAACUGCAUUUGAAACUGUUAGUCUAGAGUAUGGGAGAGGUAGGUGGAAUUCGUGGUGUAGGGGUAAAAUCCGUAGAGAUCAAGAGGAAUACUCAUUGCGAAGGCAGCCUGCUAGAACAUAACUGACGCUGAUGCGCGAAAGCGUGGGGAGCAAACAGGAUUAGAUACCCCAGUAGUC